rnacentral:rRNA from 1 species
GACGAACGCUGGCGGCGUGCUUAACACAUGCGAGUCGAACGGAAAGGCCCUGCUUUUGUGGGGUGCUCGAGUGGCGAACGGGUGAGUAACACGUGAGUAACCUGCCCUUGACUUUGGGAUAACUUCAGGAAACUGGGGCUAAUACCGGAUAGGAGCUCCUGCUGCAUGGUGGGGGUUGGAAAGUUUCGGCGGUUGGGGAUGGACUCGCGGCUUAUCAGCUUGUUGGUGGGGUAGUGGCUUACCAAGGCUUUGACGGGUAGCCGGCCUGAGAGGGUGACCGGCCACAUUGGGACUGAGAUACGGCCCAGACUCCUACGGGAGGCAGCAGUGGGGAAUAUUGCACAAUGGGCGGAAGCCUGUUGCAGCAACGCCGCGUGCGGGAUGACGGCCUUCGGGUUGUAAACCGCUUUCGCCUGUGACGAAGCGUGAGUGACGGUAAUGGGUAAAGAAGCACCGGCUAACUACGUG